ACUCGAUUCCAUUAAUUCAUCUUGACAAAUAUUUCCUAAAAUAAAUAUCAGAAAAUAUUCUCUCUCUCUCUCGCUCUCUCUCUCUAUCGACACAACUUUUUCCCCAAAUCAAAAUUCCAAAUUUUUGUUUAUUUGUUAUUGCCGAUUACAGAUCUAGUACAAACUCGUUGAUCCCUUGAUUCAGUUCUCUGGUUGCUUCACUCAUCGGCGACUUCAGUUCUCCGGUAGCUUCACUCACCAGCGAUUUUAAACUCCGGUAGUUUUCUUCAACCGGCGACUUCAAUCUCCAGCUGCUCCACUCGCCGGCGACUUUAAUCUCCAACAACGUCACUCGCCGAAGACUUUAAUCUCCAGCAGCUUCAUUCAUUUGGUAUGGAAACAGAAUUUCUAAAACGCCUAUUUAGAGAUGGAUUUGAGCCACAAGUAAAAAAGAUAAACAAUUCCUAUCGAACUUCUAUCUUGAGCAAAGUCAAACAAGCAUUGCCUAUACAGUACGAGCUAGUGAAGAAAGAUCAUGUCUUUUCACAUGUGUUUGCACUCUACGAAGGGUUUAGGGUAUUCAGCGCGGUUGAUACACAAUAUGAUGUCUAGGCAAUUGGUUACAAAGAAAAAAAAAGAGAGAUAUGGUUUGUGUUUGGAGGGAAACAACUCAGAUUUUCAAUGCAAGAAUUUCAUGUUGUGGCUGUGCUCAAAUGCAUUGAUGAUUUUAGUUGUGAUUUAGAGAAUUGAAAAGACGAUGGUGGGUUUUGGAGCAAAUUGAUGAAGAGAAAAGGUACGACGAUUAGCAUUAAGAGCUUGGUAGAUGUGCACUUACCUUUAGUUCACACAUGGAAUGACGUAGAUAAAAUCCGCUUGGUGUAUAUUUUUGUGAUAGCUGGGUUGGUUAUGGCUAAGGAUGAGAAAAAGUAUAUUCCACUCAAAGACAUCCAGAUGGUAAUGGAUCUUGAUAAGGUGAUGACUUAUCCUUGGGGUCUUAAAGCUUUUAAAAUUCUAGUUAAGUCUAUCAUAGAAAGAAGAGAAGAUUUGAAGAAGAUCAACAGCUACGCAUUAGAUGGUUUCUCAUAUGCAUUUCAAAUAUGAGUUAUGGAGGCGAUUCCAGACAUUGGAAAGUUGUUGGGAGAAAAGAUUAUCAAAGAAUUUACAGAAGCUCCUCGAUGUUCUAAUUGGAAAGGUGCAACCAAAGUAUCAUAUGAUGAUAUCAUCCAAAUAGAAAGUACAUUUGGACCAAAGGAAUCCUCCUCCUCGACACCACUAUAGCCUCUUAGAAUUUACUUCCCCUCAAGUGAGUACAACAAGAAAAUCAAGUAUCGACGAGGUGUAAUAUCCAUGAGAUGAUGUUGGUACAAGACAUUGGUAAGAAGAAAAAGAAGGGUGUUAAACCGACUGCCGUGGAGGAAGACACCAAUAACCGUAGUAAAAGAGUCUUUACAAGGUCAUGGACAUGUAGAACUAAUUUUGUGGGUGUUUGGAUGUUCUUCUUAUUUCUAUUUGUAGAACUACUUGUAAAACUUUGUUGGAUUCAUAUUACUUUUUGGAAUUUA